rnacentral:rRNA from 1 species
CGUACGACGAGUUUGAUCCUGGCUCAGAUUGAACGCUGGCGGCAUGCGUUUACACAUGCAAGUCGAACGGUAACAGGGACUUCGGUCUGCUGACGAGUGGCGAACGGGUGAGUAACAUAUCGGAACGUGCCCAGUAAUGGGGGAUAGCUCGGCGAAAGCCGGAUUAAUACCGCAUACGCCCUGAGGGGGAAACGUGGGGGGAUCUUCGGACCUCACGUUAUUGGAGCGGCCGAUAUCGGAUUAGCUAGUUGGUGGGGUAAAGGCCUACUAAGGCGACGAUCCGUAGCUGGUCUGAGAGGAUGAUCAGCCACACUGGGACUGAGACACGGCCCAGACUCCUACGGGAGGCAGCAGUGGGGAAUUUUGGACAAUGGGCGAAAGCCUGAUCCAGCCAUGCCGCGUGAGUGAAGAAGGCCUUCGGGUUGUAAAGCUCUUUCAGGUGGAAAGAAAGCGGAUGGGCUAAUACCCUGUUCGGAUGACGGUACCACCAGAAGAAGCACCGGCUAACUACGUG